rnacentral:tRNA from 1 species
CCCUCGAUGGCUCAGAUGGAUAGAGCGUCUGCCAUACAAGCAGGAGUUCCCCGGGUUCGAGUCCCGGUUGGGGGC